rnacentral:rRNA from 1 species
CCUACGGGAGGCAGCAGUAGGGAAUCUUCCGCAAUGGACGAAAGUCUGACGGAGCAACGCCGCGUGAGUGAUGAAGGCUUUCGGGUCGUAAAACUCUGUUGUUAGGGAAGAACAAGUACGAGAGUAACUGCUCGUACCUUGACGGUACCUAACCAUGUGUAGAAGCCAUCGGCUAACUUUGACGUGCCAAGCAGCAUCGCAGAGCUAAUACGUAGGUGGCAAGCGUUAUCCGGAAUUAUUGGGCGUAAAGCGCGCGCAGGCGGUUUCUUAAGUCUGAUGUGAAAGCCCACGGCUCAACCGUGGAGGGUCAUUGGAAACUGGGGAACUUGAGUGCAGAAGAGAAAAGCGGAAUUCCACGUGUAGCGGUGAAAUGCGUAGAGAUGUGGAGGAACACCAGUGGCGAAGGCGGCUUUUUGGUCUGUAACUGACGCUGAGGCGCGAAAGCGUGGGGAGCAACAGGAUUAGAUACCCUGGUAGUCCACGCCGUAAACGAUGAGUGCUAAGUGUUAGAGGGUUUCCUAGCCCUUUAGUCUGCAGCUAACGCAUUAAGCACUCCGCCUGGGGAGUACGGUCGCAAGACUGAAACUCAAAGGAAUUGACGGCGACGCGUGACCGGUAUCAAACACCAAGCGGUGGAGCAUCUGGUUCUAAUUGCGUAAGCAACGCGAAGAACCUUAC